AGCCGAAACCCCUUGGUAACAAGGGGUCUACAUGGUAUGGCAACCAUGUGCUGAUGAGGCAAGCCAAAC
rnacentral:hammerhead_ribozyme from 1 species